rnacentral:tRNA from 1 species
GUUGGGAGAGCGUUAGACUGAAGAUCUAAAUGUCCCCGGUUCGUUUCCGGGUUCUGGCA